rnacentral:rRNA from 1 species
UACGUAGGGACCAAGCGUUGUUCGGAUUUACUGGGCGUAAAGGGUGCGUAGGCGGCGUGUCAAGUCAGUUGUGAAAUCUCCGAGCUUAACUCGGAACGGUCAACUGAUACUGCCAUGCUAGAGUGCAGAAGGGGCAAUCGGAAUUCUUGGUGUAGCGGUGAAAUGCGUAGAUAUCAAGAGGAACACCUGAGGUGAAGACGGGUUGCUGGGCUGACACUGACGCUGAAGCACGAAAGCUAGGGUAGCAAACGGG